rnacentral:misc_RNA from 1 species
AAAGUCGUAACAAGGUUUCCGUAGGUGAACCUGCGGAAGGAUCAUUACCAAAUCCAAAUUCAAACCCCAUGUGAACUAUUGUAUAGUCUGUCUUUGGGAGAGAAAGAAAAUGAAAAAAUUUGAAAUUAAAACCUUCACUUUUUUUUUUGGAUUUUUCUCCCAAUAGAGUCCGGCACAAUUUUAUUGUUGUGUCCAGAUUCGAAACCCCUUUUAAACCACUUGAUUUUUCUGUUGGAAUUAACUUUUAUUAAUUUUAAAUAAAAGACAACUUUUAACGGCGGAUCUCUUGGCUCGU